UGGUUGGCUUGGUAAAUUAAGAAAUGCAGUAAACCUCAACCUUUUACACUCUUCUAAACAACUGACUCGAUAUUUCUAGAAAGUAAAGGCACGUGAUGCUAUGAAAAGUGCGGACAAAAAAUAUGGCAACAAGUCAACACUCUACAUAGUUAAACGUUAGCCAUAAAAUGACAAUAAUAAUGAAACAUAAAUGCCUCUGUUUUCUUGAACAACUCAAUUUCAAAGAUCUAUAUUGUUACUGUAUACAUUAAUAUUAUACAAGCUGUGUCACAUAACUAAUGCCCAUUAUGCUGGCACAACGUUUCAAAUUCACAGACUAAGAUCAACCCAAAAGACCAAAACUGUGAUUGUAAUAUCUUCGGGCACUCGAGUAAAGAAAACAGAUAACCAGACACACACACACACANNNNNNNNNNNNNNNNNNNNNNNNNNNNNNNNNNNNNNNNNNNGGGGAGUUCCAUCACACAUUCGAAGCUUGACAUAAUUACAAAAAUCUGCUCCCUGCAUCUAUUGCCAGUUUUGGAAAUUCCAGAAAUUAUCAGAAGGAGUUAAACAAAGCAAUGGAAAUAAAUACAGGAAAAAAAAACUGCAAACUAAUCACAUAACAUGAUUUAGUUCAUCUAAAUUGAGCUAUUCAUUUCAGAGAAUAAAGCAAGUAAUCUCAACAACGAUUAAUAAAUCGAUGGCUGAUAUUCCAACACAUCCAAGCUUUGUUACAAAUGUGUACAUAAACAUCAACCAUUAAUUAAUUCAUCAAAGGUUCCGAAUUGUUAUACUCUUUAAAGUGAAUUGCUCACUAAAGACGAGUCAAAUCACAUAACAGAAGAUACCAUUAUUUCAAAUUAAUUCUAAUCUCACACUCACAAUCCAUAUGAUUAACAAAUUAUAUCAAAUCACCAAACAUACCAAAAAAAUGCAUCACCCUUAAUUGCACUAAUAUUUAAGCAUGAGAAUCCUAUAAAUCAACCAAAAAAUUAACCACCUACUAUUUUCCUCUAAAACCAAAGUAUCCUUGUACAUCUGCAGACACUAAUCCCUCGAGCUAAUUCAGAUUCAUUAAAAAUAUUUUAGGGAGACUAUAUAUAUAUAGUAGUAUAAUCAUUAAAAAAAAAAAACAAAACAAAAAAACAAAAAACCCUAGUCCACAAUAAUUAAUCAUCAUAUCCUAAAAUAUUUACAAAUCAAAAAGGAAAAAAUAUAAAUUCAAGUUUAAAAUUUUAGGAUAGCAAUACAAUUAAUACACUUAAAAAUAAAAUUAAUACACCAAAUUAAAUUGUAAUAAGCCAAAAUCAUAUCUAGCUCUUAGAGUAAAAAUUCAAAGCAAAAUCUUCGAUUUAAGAGAGAGGGAGCUUACUUGUAAAGCGGAUCGAUUUCACCGUCGCUGGCGGCGAUGAGGAGGAAGAACGAACAAAUGAUGGCGAGGAGUAUUAGAGAGCGAAAGAUAGCCAUCGGAAUCGCUGAAAAGCGAAGUCAAAAGGAAGGUUAUUCCCGCGAAAUGGGAGAGGAUGUUCGGAGGAGAAUUGACGGAGAGUUUUGCAUUGACGGAGGAGGUUGAUUAAGGUUAAUUAACGGUGGAGUACGGUGGAAGAGGUGGUGGUUGAUCUAGAAAUGGAAGGGUUAGGAACGAGUCAACUCGGAGCGAGUUGGAAGAGUGGCUAUAAUAACAGAAGCAGAAUCUCGUGAAGAGGUGGUGAUGAUGAUGAUAUCUCAGACAGACAUAACAUUAUUGUUCUAUUAUUAUUAUUAUUAUUAUUAUU
rnacentral:lncRNA from 1 species